GUGGGGCUCCACAAUGGAGACCCCUUCUCCGCUCAUACCUCGCUGCCCUCCAGCUGGGGCCCUUGGAAAAAGCAGAUGUCGUCCCCUUCGGGCUAGGCUGGAAUGAAGCCAAAAGGCCUGGGGCACUUUGGGGGACUGGGGCUGCAGUUAGCCCGCCAGGCCCCUCUGGUCUUCUGCGCCUGCGUUCCCCGUGGAGAGAAGUCCGAGCAAAUUCCGUUCCCUUAGGAGCAACCCGCUAGAGACUAUGGGCACAGCUGGGUAAGGCCUGGGUCCUACUUGAAACUGGAGGGUCAUUUCUCCAGAAACUUUCUUUGGACACUGGUUUGGUCAGCCCUACUCUGGCGGUGGUGCUACAGGGACUGCACAUCAACCUGUGCUUCCUCCUCCCUCGGCCGGAAAAACAAACCUGGGUUCCAGUCCCUGUUAAAGGAGUCUCUGCCAAAAGAUGCUUUGCCGAGCCUCAGUUUCCUUCCCUACCAAAAAGGGUGAGCUAAGGAAACGCAUACAGACAGGAAUGUUCCCAGCCAGUACUGACCUCUAACCCCAACCCGCCUCGAUGUGAAGAACGACUGCCUUGGCCACCACCCCUUGGAGGACCAGCAGACGCCUCUGGAGCAACUGGGGCAUCCCCAUGGCAACCAUGCCAGGCCAGCUUGAGCUGCUUCUACAGUACUUCAGCUAGGCCUCCUUCAUUGGCAAACCAGCCUUACAUCUUGCUGGUUUUUCAACACCAGAGGAAAAGAGGUAAGCUCUUCCCCGCUUCAGUACCUGUUCAGGACUGAAGAUCAGCUCUGAUUGACUGAGCGUGGAUCAUGGGAUGGCCCAUAGUUUCUCAGGGGUUCCGAGAUUUCCAUCAGACCACCCAACUGGAGGAGGAGGAUGCGGUUAUCAGAAUGAUGAGCAGCACAGCUGUUUGAUUUUCCUCCUUCCCUCUGGCAGCAACUCCUCCGUCUCCACUGGCCUCUUCCCUUCAGCCAAGCCUGGAAUGUCGGACUUUGGGGAUCAAGUAAUUAUUGGCCAAGAAACAAAAGCAAAACCAUUCCACUCUCAAUGGAUUCACAUGAAACCUGGGAACGAAGUCAGAUAUGACUCUAAGAGGAGACACUGGGUCUAUAAGGAACAGUACAUGAGACGCCACACAGAUUUAUUGUAGUACCAAGAUCACUGUCACCUUAUUGUAUCAAAUGAAAGUGUCACCACUGUCUGGAUGGUUGGAUAUGUAUUUUAUUGGGAAUAUGAUUUUCUCUUGGUAUGCUCUGCACUGGUAGGUUGAUUCACCUCUAUGUGAAAAAAUAAGAAUGAAACAACAAAAAUCACAUAUCUCAACAUCAAGGAUGAGGAGAAACACAAACUCUCUUACAUUGCUGUUGAGAAUACAAAUUGGUACAACCACUCUGGAAAUCUUCUGCAGUUAUUUACUAAAGCAAGUAUUCUAUGAUCAACAAUUCCACUUCUAGUUAGAUUGUCAAAAAAAUGAGAGCUUCUGUCUACCUGAAGGCAGGCAGAAUGUCCAUAACAGUUUAUUCAUGUUUCCCACACUGGAAACAGACCAAAUAUUCAUCAACAGAAGAAUGGGUAAAUAAGAGUGAUUAAUUCUUACAAUGGAAUAUUACACAGCAAUAAAAAGAACUAGUGCUGAUAAUAAACAACAUGGGUUGCGUGAGACCCUGGUUUCAUUUCCAGCACUGCAAAACCAAACAUCAACAAAAGAAUGUACACACUGUGUAAUUACAAUUUUAGAAAGCUUGAAACCUGGCAUAACUAAUCCACAAUGCAAGAGGCCAGGUGGGGUUACCCAUGGAGUGGUGCUAACUUGCAGGGGACAGGGGAGAGCCUGCUGGAGGGCUGGCGUCGUUCCACUCUUGAUCUGGUGGUGAAUAUGUGGUGGGUGUAUGUAUUUAAAAUUGAUCUGUACAUUUUACUGUACCUAAAUUAUACCCCGAUAAAAUGGGAGAAUCAUGUAACUGCCAAUUAUUAAGGGUGAUAUUAUUGAGUCAGGUCUUUGUGCCAGGAACAGACUAAGUCUUUAUUCUUUAUUUAAUUGAUAUUGCAGUGUUAGCCUGAAAAUAUCAUUUUUCAUAGGCAUGUUGUAAGAAAGGAAUAAAACCAAACUGUUCUGUAAUAUUUGGGAGGACUCUUCAUUCAGGCUGCUCCAGGAAUAAUUAAUCCUAAGGUUUGGGCAGCUGCCACCUGAUGUUGUUUUGGUUUGUUGUUUGGAAAUCCUCAAUUGGAUGUAUCUGGAUUCUUGGCUUGUGAAUUUAGUUACAGCUCGAGCAUAAUAAUACACAGCUUUUUAUUUGUAGUUUUCUUUUCUUUGGCCACCGAUUCAGGAAGAAGGAGUUUGUGUAGAAUGUCAACAUCAGUCAGCAGAAGACCACCAGGAACACACCUGUAAUUAAUAAAAUUAGGUUUCUCUGUCUUGCAGAAGGGAGAAUGCGCCUCAGAGGCGCGUUUGUGUUUGUGUGUUUGUGUUGGAUGAUUCUGAGGAGAUUAGGGAAGGAAAGGCCAAUUCUGGACUGGAUGCUUUAGGAAGCAGGGACAAUUGAUGUGAGCCAUUAAGGUCGUGACAGGUGUGAGUGUAUGUGUGUAUGUGUGUGUGUGUGCGCACACGCGCAAGUACACAAUACAGACCAGGUUGGAAAAAGAUGGAAAGGGCCCAACUGGGCAGAUGGAGAAUAUCUCGCGCAACUGCUCAUGUA